AUGCAGGCUGUUAGAGUAGGGUAUAAGUGGUCUGUAGGGAAUGGUAAAUCUAUUAGAUUUUGGGAAGAUAUUUGGCAUGGCAAUGCUCCCUUGGCUACACAAUUUUGGGAUCUUUAUUUCUUAGUGAAUGAGAAAAUAAGACUAUUGCUCAUCUGUGGGAUGGGCAGGAGCUUAAAUGUUCGUUCAGGAGAACGUUUACUGAUGAGCUUAUGA
rnacentral:rRNA from 1 species